GAUGAACGCUGGCGGCGUGCUUAACACAUGCAAGUCGAACGGUGAAGCAGGAGCUUGCCCUUGUGGAUCAGUGGCGAACGGGUGAGUAACACGUGAGCAACCUGCCCCUGACUCUGGGAUAAGCGCUGGAAACGGCGUCUAAUACUGGAUAUGUGAUGUGACCGCAUGGUCUGCAUCUGGAAAGAAUUUCGGUUGGGGAUGGGCUCGCGGCCUAUCAGCUUGUUGGUGAGGUAAUGGCUCACCAAGGCGUCGACGGGUAGCCGGCCUGAGAGGGUGACCGGCCACACUGGGACUGAGACACGGCCCAGACUCCUACGGGAGGCAGCAGUGGGGAAUAUUGCACAAUGGGCGGAAGCCUGAUGCAGCAACGCCGCGUGAAGGAUGACGGCCUUCGGGUUGUAAACCUCUUUUAGCAGGGAAGAAGCGAAAGUGACGGUACCUGCAGAAAAAGCACCGGCUAACUACGUGCCAGCAGCCGCAGUAA
rnacentral:rRNA from 1 species